GUGGUGGCUCAGGGUUAGAACACUUGCCUGGCAUAUGUGAGGCCCUGGGUUCAAACCUCAGCACCACA
rnacentral:tRNA from 1 species